GACAUACAGUUUAAGAUCCACUGGGACGGAGAACCCAUUCUGAAAUGGAGCAAAAACUAGAUCCAGUUAUCAGUUCUGCACAAAUUACUUCAUUUGGAACUCUCCAGCACAAAUGCGGCCAGGCAGGAAAUGAGUGAGCAAAGGGAUUGGAACUAUCGGGAAUGGGCAAAUCACUCAACAAAAAUGUCAUUUUUAAAAUAAGCUUUCACCUGGUGAUGCAAUGAAACCUGAAUCCACAAGGGAACAUGAGGAUUUGGGCAGAUGAAGGAUAUUACUGUCUGGAAGCUCAGGGAAAUACCAUAGCAAGGA